rnacentral:sRNA from 1 species
AUGUUGCUGUGGGCUGCACUCAGCAUCCUGGUCUGGGGCGCUGGCUCUGUCUUCCUUAUUCUGGUCUUCUUCAACUACAUGUGCAGCUCUGGCAGAAGUCUUAUCCCUGGGACCUCCAGUGCUGCUCCACAGAUCUGACUGGGAAAAUAGCCAUAGUGACUGGGGCCAACAGUGGCAUCGGGAAGGUUGUAUCCCAGGACCUAGCUCGGUGUGGGGCCCAAGUGAUCCUUACUUGUCAGAGCAGGGAAUGUGGACAGCAAGCCCUGGCUGAGAUCCAAGCAGCCUCAAACAGCAACCGCCUCCUGCUUGGCGAGGUGGACCUUAGCUCCAUGACCUCUAUUCGGAGCUUUGCCCGGAGGCUUCUACAGGAGAAUCCUGAGAUACAUCUGCUGGUAAACAAUGCUGGAGUCAGUGGAUUCCCAAGACACUUACCCCAGGGGGCCUGGAUCUCACCUUUGUCACUAACUAUGUUGGGCCCUUUCUGCUCACAAAUCUACUCCAAGGGGCCCUACGACAGGCAGGGUCAGCCCCAGUGGUGAAUCUGUCUUCCGUUCGGCAUGCACAUGGGUACAUUGAUGAGGGGCACCUGACAGGCUGGAGGCCCUUUGACCUUUAACCAAAACUAUGACUGCAGCAAACUGCUAUUGACUUCAUUCACUGGAGAGCUUGCCCAGAGACUUCAAGGAGAAUGACUGUGAAUGCUGUGGAGCCCGGUGUUGUAUACAUGGGGAUUAUGAGGCAUUUCUCUUAGCCAUAAUGCUUCCUCUUCUAGCUUGUCAGCUUCUUCAUGAAGGAUCUCAAACAAGGUGUACUCCCAGUUCUCUACUUGAGCUUGGCAGAGGAGCCGGGUGGUAUUUCUGGAAAAUAUUUCAGCAGUUCCUGUGUGAUAACUCUUCCCGUUAAAGCCUCUCGGGAUCCUCAUGUUGCCCAGAGCCUCUGGAAUGCCUCAGUCCGACUGACAAGCCUAGUCAAGAUGGACUGA